AUGGUAGUUUGGUUCACAGCUAGAUAAUCUACUCCUAAGAUUACGUCAAUGUCUCCCAUUGGUAUAACAUACGAGUUAUUCACCAUGGCUUUGAGUGAAUUUAUGCUCAGCUUUAAGCUCAUGCACACAUGUGUUAUUGUUGUUGUUGUUGUUUUUGGCGUGGUUACUACUCUUGGUGUGGUUGGGGCAAAACAUGGAUUGCUUGCAGAUACGGAGCCUGGACAAGCAAGUUCAGCAUAGACCCGUCCCUUGUUCCUUAUUCAAACAACGGUUUGCAUAAUGCCCUUCUGGCUACUGUGUAACAACCUUCACUUCCACUCUUCCAUUAUUGCAUCAUCUCCCAUGGUUCUUGUUGCAAUUUGGGCAGGGCAGGAUUCUUUGUUGGUUAUCUCCUAUCUGUCUAGGAGUACCCUUUUGGCUUUUGUAGCCUUGUUGCUGGAAUGAUUGCCCUUGCCAUGGUGUUUUUUUUUUUUUUUUUUUUUUUUUUUCUUGACAGUUGUUACUGUUGUCCUCUUUUCUUUUUCCUCAAAUGUUCUGAGUUUGUGCCUGUGGAGGUGUUGGCAUAGGCAUCCUUACUGGUCUUUCUAUCGACAUCGAUGCCCUAAUGUUUAAUGCUCUUCUAAGCGCAGUGUAAGACAAUCCACCAUGGCUUGCCAAAGCCAUCCUAAUCUCGUGCCUCAGAGCGGCACAAAGUUUUUCAGCCCCCCCCCCUUUUUUUUUAUCCA
rnacentral:lncRNA from 1 species